GACGUAGGGGGCCAGCGUUGCUCGGAAUUACUGGGUGUAAAGGGUUCGUAGGCGGUGCGGCAAGUUGGGAGUGAAAUCUCUGGGCUCAACCCAGAGGCUGCUUCCAAAACUGCUGUGCUUGAGUGUGGGAGAGGCGCGUGGAAUUGCAGGUGUAGCGGUGAAAUGCGUAGAUAUCUGCAGGAACACCGGUGGCGAAGGCGGUUCUCUGGGAAUAUCCUGACGCUGAGGAGCGAAAGUGUGGGGAGCGAACAGG
rnacentral:rRNA from 1 species